AAAAAUACGUGAUUAUUCACGUGAAUUAAUAUAUUCUUCACCAGUUAGUUAUUUCUAAGAUUUAUGAUGUCCCAUCAGUCAAUUGCUAACUCUCAGUAUCCAUCAGUGAUGACGAAAAUAACAUACCAAGAAGUUCUGUAGGAAAAUAAUGAAUCGAAGUUUAUAAUGACGAAAAGCUUUUUCAUAAUGAGGAAUAAACCAAUCGAUUUAUGAUGUCCCAUCACUCAUCAGUCAAUUGCUGAUACUCAGUGUCCAGUGAUAACAGAAAUGAAAGACAACGAUGUUCUAAGCAGAGAAUUAAUCCAAGUUUAAAAUGACAAAAAGCUCUUUCACAAUCAGCAAUAAACCAAUCAAUUUAUGAUGUCCCAUCAGUCAAUUGCUAACUCUCAGUGUCCAUCAGUGAUAACGAAAAUAACAUACCAAGAAGUUCUGUACGAAAAUAAUGAAUCGAAGUUUAUAAUGACGAAAAGCUUUUUCAUAAUGAGGAAUAAACCAAUCGGAUUUGGAUUUACAUAUUUUGGGCGUUUGGUAUGUGCAACAACCUAGCAAACACUUUUCAACAUCCUCGAAAACCCAGGGACUUCAAGAAUUUGAACAACCCUUGCUUUGCGUCUGAGAAACCAUUACUUGGGAGUGAAGCUGAGGUCCUUUCAGAGCAGGACUUGACA